UUGAACGCUGGCGGCAGGCCUAACACAUGCAAGUCGAGCGGAUGAAGGGAGCUUGCUCCUGGAUUCAGCGGCGGACGGGUGAGUAAUGCCUAGGAAUCUGCCUGGUAGUGGGGGAUAACGUCCGGAAACGGGCGCUAAUACCGCAUACGUCCUGAGGGAGAAAAUGGGGGAUCUUCGGACCUCACGCUAUCAGAUGAGCCUAGGUCGGAUUAGCUAGUUGGUGGGGUAAAGGCCUACCAAGGCGACGAUCCGUAACUGGUCUGAGAGGAUGAUCAGUCACACUGGAACUGAGACACGGUCCAGACUCCUACGGGAGGCAGCAGUGGGGAAUAUUGGACAAUGGGCGAAAGCCUGAUCCAGCCAUGCCGCGUGUGUGAAGAAGGUCUUCGGAUUGUAAAGCACUUUAAGUUGGGAGGAAGGGCAGUAAGUUAAUACCUUGCUGUUUUGACGUUACCAACAGAAUAAGCACCGGCUAACUUCGUG
rnacentral:rRNA from 1 species